rnacentral:rRNA from 1 species
UACGGGGGGGGCAAGCGUUGUUCGGAAUUACUGGGCGUAAAGGGUUCGUAGGUGGCCCGCUAAGUCAGACGUGAAAUCCCUCAGCUCAACUGGGGAACUGCGUCUGAGACUGGCGAGCUCGAGUGCAGGAGAGGAACGCGGAAUUCCAGGUGUAGCGGUGAAAUGCGUAGAUAUCUGGAGGAACACCGGUGGCGAAGGCGGCGUUCUGGACUGCAACUGACACUGAGGGAACGAAAGCCAGGGGAGCAAACGGG